UGGGCAAAGAUGACUUGCGUAGAAUAUCUUUGUGUCCCUUCUUAGCAUUCAUAAUCCGUCUCUCUGCUUGAGCUUCCACUUCCAGAUCUUCUUCAAAGCGGCGGCGAGAACGACGAGAGUCAAAAUAAUCCGGUUCAUCAUCCUCAUCAAGAGCACCCUCCAAGAACCCAGGCGAGAGCUGACGCCUCCGCUCUACAGUUUGUGUAUACUUUCGGCUAACCUUUUCUCUCUUCCG
rnacentral:misc_RNA from 1 species